GAGAAAUGCACCAUAGCAAACUUUGAUGACUCUGGAAAGUGGGAGGACUGUCCUUGUGACUGGAACUUCCCGUUCUUUUGUUAUGGAGACAAAGAGCAAAACGUUCUGGGUCCAGUUUCCAAGCUGCUGGUGAAGCUGAAGGUGGCGAAGUCUUCAUCUGUGGACCUGAACGACGCCGCCCUGCUGGAAGACCUGCUGACGAAGUUUUUGCAGAGGCUGAAGGACGGCGGCGCAGAAGGAAACGUCAGACUGAGCUGGAAGGAGAGACCAGAUGGAAAGACCUUCCACCAGGAGGGAUGAGGAUGACCUUUAACCUUCAUCUGAAAUGGAUUCUCCUCUCAUCCAUGUUUUUGUUUGCUGUUUUGCUCUUUUCUGAUUGUAUGGUGGAGUCUCUGGAUGGUGAAUAGAGACUGUGAUUGUAAAGUUACAGUGAAAAAUGAACUUCAGUUAUUUAUCCUGUCAUGAGAUUCAUGUUCAAAAGUCAUAUUUUCACCAUGUUAUUCAUUCAUCUAUAUUUGUCACAAUAUCAGGAUGUAGCUCUAAACUGAAUAUUCACUGAUAAACCAAAUUUCUUCUUCCCUAAAAAUUAAUUUGCAUCAUAUCUUUUAGCUCCAAACUAGUUAGCAAGCUGGCUAACUAAACAUCUGGUUAGAAGCUAAAUAGUGAGUUUGUUGACUAGAUCUUAA